UCUAUUCGUACCUCAAAUUGAAUCUUUCUUCUUCUUCUUCUUCUCUUUCUGAUCUUCUUGUUCGUUUAUUUUCUUUGUAAGCAUCGACGUUUCGUUGAUCUUUAUAUAUAUUUCUGGGUUCUCGUCUGGUUCAGCUCAGUUCUUAAUUAAUUGAUUGCGGAAGAUACAAGCUUGAUUUAAUUAUAUUUCAACCAUGAGUUCUGGUAUUCCAACAGCAUAUCCCAAAGCAACAUCAACAAAUGCACCAAUAAUGACUCCUCCACCAGUUGGUUAUCCCACCAUUAAUGGCACUUCACCAAACCCUCAGGCAGCUUCUUUCCAGACCAAGUCUAGGGGUGAUGGCUUUUGGAAAGGAUGUUGUGCGGCAUUGUGUUGCUGUUGUGUUUUGGACGCUUGCUUCUGAGGAGCCAUAUUAUUUACGAGAGACAUAUAUAUAUCAUCUUUAUUUGGUCAUGUUUGGUUUCUUUCUUGAAUAAAUAAAGGAUGAUUGUAAUGUAAACUAGAUUGUUUUAGUUUCUAGUUUUUAAUUUUUCAUAGAUUCAUUGUUGUUGACUUGUACGUUGUUAGUGUUGUAUAAUAACCUAUAAUAUACAAUUCUUUUUAUGCAAA